GUAAACUCUUCGAAAGGGCUGAUAAUAGCAGGCCUAGGGGAAAUGGUUUUAAGUUGAGGAGGGAGAUUUAGGUUGGAUGUUAGGGGUAAGUUCUUUACUAGAAGGGUGGUUAGGUUCCUGGAACAGGCUGCCCAGUGAGGUUGUGGAUGCCCCGUCCUUGGAGGUGUUUCAAGACCAGGUUGGACGGGGCCCUGGCAACUGAUCUAGUAGGUGUAAUGUUUGGUGGCCGCUGCUAGGCAGGGGGGUUGGAACUACAUGAUCCUUGAGGUCCCUUCCAACCCGGGUAAUUCUGUGAUUCUGUGAUUCUGUGAUUGCCUCCCUGCUGUGUGAUUUCUCUGUUUUAGUUUCAGUACUGCUUCCUGACUACCUUGAUGCAAAAGUUUUAGGGUUCACCGGUUCUGCAUCUAAACCUGCUUCUGCCCGUAUCUAAUCAAGCCAGCAAGAGAGAACCAGGGAGGGAGAUCCCAUGACUUCCCCCUGUCUUAUCUUCUUCUCUGAGUGUGAAGUCCCCUGGGAUAUGCAGUUGUUCUUCCCUUCUGAGAACCAGGUAUCUGGAAAGUUGUCAGUCCAUGGAACUGGAGUAUUAAAUCUUUAAUUACCUGUGCUUUAUGUGAUGUUAUGAUGUGGAAUGUUGAUAUCAAAAUUAUAAAACCAUGACACAGUUUAGUAUGGAGGAUUAAUGAAGCAUAUAUACAACCACUUCCAUAUAAUUUUAUAUAUUCUCCUAAGUGGUAUACUGGCAUUAUAUCGUAGCAUAUAUAUAUAUAUAUAUAUAUUUUUCAAAGCUUUUACACUAUUGUAACAUAACUCACAUAUGCUUCCAUGUUUUCCUCCUGCUAUACUCAGUUCACUUACAUUUGCAAGAAGGUAUGUAUCACACUAAUACAUGUGUGAGCACUGGCAUGAUGGUUAGCGACAAAGCACAAUGGAAACAAAGGACCCCUCAUUGUGCCUAUUUUUUAAUUCAUUACUUAUUUGAAUUAAUUUUAUGGCAACAAUGAUGUUUUUUUUUUCCUUUGCAUUAUAUCAAAGCGCUACAGAAAAAUCUGUGCAUUACUGUGGGGAGGAAAAAAAAAAAUCCCAAUCCCGCCCAACAAUCAAAGACUGUUGUGGCCAUGAUUUUUUGAAACUAUGCAUUUUAAUGAAGCAAUCGUUAUCAAUAAAGAAAGGGACUGCAAUUUUCAAGGAGCGUUUGGACAUCUCAGCCUGUGUUUCGUUUGGAAUUUCUGAAGACUUUCCAUUGACGGAACAUUUACUUUCGAGGAUUGUCUACCAUAUAGCUUGGACAAUUCUUCUAAUAGAGGGCUCCAGGGAACCAUCUUUGGGCUUUAUCUCACUUACUCAGCUUCUACUCAAGACUACUGUGCAUCCUAAGCUUUCCCACAGGAUCUACAUUCUUCGCCUGCAAAACAUGUGCUUUUGCUUCUGCACCAAAAUCAAUCACAGAUCUGGGGCCCCUGAGAGGUGGAGAAGUGUCAAAGCACUGGAAUCUCCACCUAGGAUGGUGCUGCAUCUUCAAGUGGAGGGAUUUCCUAAGAGAUCAUAUUAGCCAGGCUGCAUCCAGACUGAAAAGCACUCAGCAACAAUGAGGAUGUCAGCAUCACCCAUUCCUGGGCAUGAAGAAAGGAACUGGCCAACAGUGCUUCUUCCUGAUGCCCCCUAGGUAUGAAUCCCAGAGAAGUGGAUGAGGAGGUGUGGAAAGAAGAUGGGCCCACAGAGAUACCGAGCAACAUCAAUGCGGGUGGUGCACAGCAUGUGCAUUUUACUUACAUGCUGUGGUGCACUGGAGGCAUUGUGUCUCUCUAAGGUAUAAUCCCUUCCAGAGUUCCUCUCAGAGUGGUACAAAUCCACAUCACCCUUUAAUUAACACUGUGCCUAGGAGGCACAACUGAGCCUUGAGUAUAGCCACAGGCUUUACAUGUACCUUAACUUGCAAAUUGCAGAUAAAAGUAGUUAAUUUAAGCAUAAACUGCUUUUUUUUUUUUUUUUUUAAAGACCCCGAUUUACACAUUGAAGGGAAAGUAAUUAUGUUUAACAGAUGCUGUUAAAGAAUAUUUGAUAAUAAUUAAUAAUUCAGAUGGAAAACAAAAUCAAAAAGAAAUUCAUGUCAGUUUAGAACUGAGGUCAAAACCUUAACCUCUGCAAGGAAGUUUUAUCUAUUCUAUUCUCUGGUAUGCUAUACUAUGCUAUUCCAUUCCAUAUUCCAUUAUUUAUACUCCAUGUAUCAUUGUAACAUUGGAGCAUCUUUCCAGCACACUGCAUUAAGCAAUAUGAAUACAUUCCAUCAAUUGGUUGUUUCCAACAACUCAACACCCAGCAGUAGUGCAGAGCAUUCUCCACAAUAGUCUAACCACUGGAUUUAAUUUUUUAAUCCAGACUUCAUCACAUUUUUUUUUCUUCUAUACUAAAGAAGCAAACCCUAAGCAAAUCUAAUCCUGACAUACCUCUACCCCUCCCUUCACCACCAACACGCCAGAGAAAUGGGCUUCUAUUUAUAAGUGGCAUUACACCCUCCUAGCCCUUUUUCUUGAUUUUUUUUCUACAGAGCACAGA
ensembl:lncRNA